GACGAACGCUGGCGGCGUGCCUAAUACAUGCAAGUAGAACGAGUGGCGAACGGGUGAGUAACGCGUGGUAACCUGCCUCAUAGCGGGGGAUAACUAUUGGAACCGAUAUCUAAUACGUCAUACCAUCAGAUGUGCCCAGAUGGGAUUAGCUAGCUGGUGGGGGAACGGCUCACCAAGGCGACGAUCCCUAGCUGGUCUGAAGGGAUGACCAGACACACUGGAACUGAGACACGGUCCAGACUCCUACGGGAGGCAGCAGUGGGGAAUAUUGCACAAGGGGCGCAAGCCUGAUGCAGCCAUGCCGCGUGUAUGAAGAAGGCCUUCGGGUUGUAAAAUACUUUCAGCGGGGAGGCGUUACCCGCAGAAGAAGCACCGGCUAACUCCGUGCCAGCAGCCGCGGUAAUAC
rnacentral:rRNA from 1 species